rnacentral:rRNA from 1 species
AGAGUUUGAUCCUGGCUCAGAUUGAACGCUGGCGGUAUGCCUAAUACAUGCAAGUCGAGCGGAAACAGAGGGAGCUUGCUCCCAGAUGUCGAGCGGCGGACGGGUGAGUAACGCGUAGGAAUCUACCCAGUAGCGGGGGAUAGCCAGUGGAAACGCUGAUUAAUACCGCAUACGCCCUAGCCGUUAAAAGCGGGGGUCUCUUGAGACCUCUCACUAUUGGAUGAGCCUGCGUUAGAUUAGCUAGUUGGUGAGGUAAAGGCUCACCAAGGCGACGAUCUAUAGCUGUUCUGAGAGGAAGAUCAGCCACACUGGGACUGAGACACGGCCCAGACUCCUACGGGAGGCAGCAGUAGGGAAUCUUGGCACAAUGGAGGAAACUCUGAUGCAGCCAUGCCGCGUGUGUGAAGAAGGCUUUCGGGUUGUAAAUCACUUUCAGCGAGGAGGUAAGGGUAUUAAGUUAAAAGCUUAUUACAUUGAUGUUAGAUACCAAAAAAAGCCCCCGGCUAACUCCGUGCCAGCAGCCGCGGUAAUACGGAGGGUGCAAGCGUUAAUCGGAAUUACUGGGCGUAAAGCGUGCGUAGGUGGUUUGUUAAGUCAGAUGUGAAAGCCCUGGGCUCAACCUGGGAACUGCAUUUGAAACUGGCAAACUAGAGUAUAGGAGAGGAAAGUGGAAUUUCUGGUGUAGCGGUGGAAUGCGUAGAUAUCAGAAGGAACAUCAAUGGCGAAGGCAGCUUUCUGGACUAAUACUGACACUGAGGUACGAAAGCGUGGGUAGCAAACAGGAUUAGAUACCCUGGUAGUCCACGCCUUAAACGAUGAUAACUAGCCGUUGGGGGGAUUUACCCUUUAGUGGCGAAGCUAACGCGUUAAGUUAUCCGCCUGGGGAGUACGGCCGCAAGGUUAAAACUCAAAGGAAUUGACGGGGACCCGCACAAGCGGUGGAACAUGUGGUUUAAUUCGAUGCAACGCGAAGAACCUUACCUGGUCUUGACAUAUCGCAGACUUUCUAGAGAUGGAAAGGUGCCUUCGGGAAUGCGAAUACAGGUGCUGCAUGGCUGUCGUCAGCUCGUGUCGUGAGAUGUUGGGUUAAGUCCCGCAACGAGGGCAACCCCUAUCAUUAGUUACCAGCACUUCGGGUGGGAACUUUAAUGAGACUGCCGGUGACAAACCGGAGAAAGGGUGGGGACAACGUCAAGUCAUCAUGGCCCUUAUGACCAGGGCUACACACGUGCUACAAUGGGGCAUACAAAGAGUCGCGAGACAGCAAUGUUUAGCUAAUCUCAUAAAGCCGGUCGUAGUCCGGAUUGCAGUCUGCAACUCGACUGCAUGAAGUCGGAAUCGCUAGUAAUCGCAGAUCAGAAUGCUGCGGUGAAUACGUUCCCGGGUCUUGUACACACCGCCCGUCACACCAUGGAAGUGGGUUGCACCAGAAGUCAAUAGCUUAACCUUCGGGAGAGCGUUGCCCACGGUGUGAUUCAUGACUGGGAUGAAGUCGUAACAAGGUAUCC